rnacentral:lncRNA from 1 species
AUGUGAGUGAGAUCCUGAGCUCUUCUGAGGCCUGCCCUUUUCUAUGACCAGUUUCCAUUGGGGAAGAGUCCUGGGAAAGGUCAUCUGUACCUGAGCUUCAAGGGGCUGGUGCCCUGAGGCAUGCUGGAGCAAUUACCUACCACCAACCUACAGGUUUGUUAAGUAAUUGAAGUUCCAAAAAUUAAUGUUUAGAGCCCAAAUCCAGAUGUUAUAACCUCAAAAAUAGUACUUUAAUGCAAAACAUGGAUUUUAUAAAACUUGGAAAUUUUGGAGUAAUUCUGUAUUAACCCACAAGAUUUUUUUUUUUUUAAAUGGACUAAUGGUCCUUUAAAGCUCCUGGUUUCAAAAUGGUUGAUGUAAUGAUCUUAAAACCUUUCAAAGAAUAUCUUUUGUACACUUGGCAUGCUCCUGGGUAUAAAUUCAUAUGACAUAGGAAAAAAAUGGUUACCAACAAAACAUCUAGGAGUAGGGGAAAGAAGGUGUCUGGAGUUCCAGUGUAUUGGAAAUCUUUUCUAUCAGGACAUCAGUUGUAUAACUUUAUGGCUUUGGGGGUUGUCUAAGGGCAUUGAGAGGUUACAUCACUUGCUCAAGGUCACUGAAUUAUAAGGGAGGGACUUGAAUCCAGGACUUACUGACUCAGACCACUUCUCUGUCCACUGAUCUGCAUCCCUGUCACCAAUGAAACUAUGGCUUCCUUGAUCACCAGCAUAAGGGAUGCAAAGAAUGUGUGAGGUUGCUUGUACAGAUUUUAAAUGUAUGUGAAAGAUCCCAGGGCCCAGAUGAAUGAACACAUCUUAAGCCUCUUACUACCCCUCUUCUUUCCCUCACUUUCCAUUUCCUUUAUAGUUCUUUCUGAUCAUCCCAGGAAUGAGAAGGUCACAUGAAGAAAGUACAUUUUAAGUGCUUUGCUCUUGGUAGGAGAUAAUUAGAAAGGAGGAAGACAAAGAAAGGCAAUUCCAAACCACCUUACUUACCAAAUCAAUGGUUUAUUUUCUUAGAGUAAUAGUGCAUCUUCCAUCCAACUGUUCUUUUUAGGAGGUAGUAUGUGGAAGUAGGGGAAUGGGGGGAGAGAGUGUCUAAAAAAAGUCCUAGAACUCCCUUAGUUACAUGGUAAAAGGACAGUCUUUAAGAAACUUAAAAGCACACAGUCUCAGUCUAAAGAAAAACCACCACAGUGGUGUCAAUAAUAACUCAACAGCACUUGUGUCUGACCAGAGGGUGAAUUGUAUGUCACUCCUUCAGAUCUUAACUGAAGGGGCGUUAAGUCUUGAUGUGUUUGGUGUUGCCUAUUUGCUUUGCUGUUAUCCAUUUUUGCUACUAAACUAAUCCAAAGGACUUAUAAAGCC